rnacentral:rRNA from 2 species
GUAGUCAUAUGCUUGUCUCAAAGAUUAAGCCAUGCAUGUCUAAGUAUAAGCACUUUAUACUGUGAAACUGCGAAUGGCUCAUUAAAUCAGUUAUCGUUUAUUUGAUAGUACCUUACUACAUGGAUACCUGUGGUAAUUCUAGAGCUAAUACAUGCUAAAAACCUCGACUUCGGAAGGGGUGUAUUUAUUAGAUAAAAAACCAAUGCCCUUCGGGGCUCCUUGGUGAUUCAUAAUAACUUAACGAAUCGCAUGGCCUUGCGCCGGCGAUGGUUCAUUCAAAUUUCUGCCCUAUCAACUUUCGAUGGUAGGAUAGUGGCCUACCAUGGUGGCAACGGGUAACGGGGAAU